rnacentral:rRNA from 1 species
UGCGUCGAAGGUAUACCGACAAGGAGUGCUGGAGCGAAUAGAAGUGAGCAUGCAGGCAUGAGUAGCGAUAAUUAAUGUGAGAAUCAUUAACGCCGUAAACCCAAGGUUUCCUACGCGAUGCUCGUCAUCGUAGGGUUAGUCGGGUCCUAAGCUGAGUCCGAAAGGGGUAAGCGAUGGCAAAUAGGUUAAUAUUCCUAUACCAACAUUAGUGUGCGAUGGAAGGACGCUUAGGGCUAAGGGGGCUAGCGGAUGGAAGUGCUAGUCUAAGGUCGUAGGAGGUUAUACAGGCAAAUCCGUAUAACAAUACUCCGAGAACUGAAAGGCUUUUUGAAGUCUUCGGAUGGAAAGAAGAACCCCUGAUGCCGUCGAGCCAAGAAAAGUUUCUAAGUUUAGCUAAUGUUGCCCGUACCGUAAACCGACACAGGUGGGUGGGAUGAGUAUUCUAAGGCGCGUGGAAGAACUCUCUUUAAGGAACUCUGCAAAAUAGCACCGUAUCUUCGGUAUAAGGUGUGCCUCCCUUUGUAUUAGAAUUCACUUCGAAAGCAAAGAAGGUUACAACAAAGAGUCCCUCCCGACUGUUUACCAAAAACACAGCACUCUGCUAACUCGUAAGAGGAUGUAUAGGGUGUGACGCCUGCCCGGUGCUCGAAGGUUAAUUGAUGGGGUUAGCAUUAGCGAAGCUCUUGAUCGAAGCCCGAGUAAACGGCGGCCGUAACUAUAACGGUCCUAAGGUAGCGAAAUUCCUUGUCGGUUAAAUACCGACCUGCAUGAAUGGCGUAACGAGAUGGGAGCUGUCUCAAAGAGGGAUCCAGUGAAAUUGUAGUGGAGGUGAAAAUUCCUCCUACCCGCGGCAAGACGGAAAGACCCCGUGGACCUUUACUACAGCUUGACACUGCUAUUUGGAUAAGAAUGUGCAGGAUAGGUGGGAGGCUUUGAGUAUAUGACGCCAGUUGUAUAUGAGCCAUUGUUGAGAUACCACUCUUUCUUAUUUGGGUAGCUAACCAGCUUGAGUUAUCCUCAAGUGGGACAAUGUCUGGUGGGUAGUUUGACUGGGGCGGUCGCCUCCCAAAUAAUAACGGAGGCUUACAAAGGUUGGCUCAUAGCGGUUGGAAAUCGCUAGUAGAGUAUAAAGGUAUAAGCCAGCUUAACUGCAAGACAUACAAGUCAAGCAGAGACGAAAGUCGGUCUUAGUGAUCCGGUGGUUCUGUGUGGAAGGGCCAUCGCUCAAAGGAUAAAAGGUACCCCGGGGAUAACAGGCUGAUCUCCCCCAAGAGCUCACAUCGACGGGGAGGUUUGGCACCUCGAUGUCGGCUCAUCGCAUCCUGGGGCUGGAGCAGGUCCCAAGGGUAUGGCUGUUCGCCAUUUAAAGCGGUACGCGAGCUGGGUUCAGAACGUCGUGAGACAGUUCGGUCCCUAUCUGCCGUGGGCGUAAGAAGAUUGAAGAGAUUUGACCCUAGUACGAGAGGACCGGGUUGAACAAACCACUGGUGUAGCUGUUGUUCUGCCAAGAGCAUCGCAGCGUAGCUAAGUUUGGAAAGGAUAAACGCUGAAAGCAUCUAAGCGUGAAGCCAACUCUAAGAUGAAUCUUCUCUAAGCUCUCUAGAAGACUACUAGUUUGAUAGGCUGGGUGUGUAAUGGAUGAAAGUCCUUUAGCUGACCAGUACUAAUAGAGCGUUUGGCUUAUCUUAUAAA